rnacentral:rRNA from 1 species
UUACAACAAUGGCUUUAGUGGCGGACUGGUGAGUAACACGUAAGCAACCUGCCUAUCAGAGGGGAACAACAGUUAGAAAUGACUGCUAAUACCGCAUAUGCCUUAGAAUCACAUGGUUCAAAAGGGAAAGGAGCAAUCCGCUGAUAGAUGGGCUUGCGUCUGAUUAGAUAGUUGGUGAGGUAACGGCCCACCAAGUCGACGAUCAGUAGCCGGACUGAGAGGUUGAACGGCCACAUUGGGACUGAGAUACGGCCCAGACUCC